rfam:Scleropages formosus scaffold7095, whole genome shotgun sequence.
ACUUAUAGCUAAAAUGAAAGUGCCUGACCUCGUCAGAUCUCAGAAACUAAGAAGCGCUGGACCUGUCUGGUAAUUUGGUGGGAGGCCUCCUGAGAAUCCCAGAUGCUGUAAGAG